GCCUAUAAUGUCUGAAGUAGUAAAGAUGCUUGAAGGCCGAGCUCCUGUUCCUGAAUUGGUUGUGACUCCAGGUAUGUACGGUGAACAAUUGGAAUUUGGAGGCAUAAGGAACAAGUUUGAUCCAAAUUCGCUUCAUAGUUCAAGCAAAACUCAGUCUCUCAUUCAGUCAUCAGAUGCACCAUGGACUGCCUAAUCUUCUACAUCUGGCCAGGAUCUUAAUCCAUUUAAUCCUGAUUCGCAGUAAUUUUUAACUUCAUCCUGCAGUCAACUUUCAUGAUGCGUAAGAUUUUGGAUUUCAUAUGAAUACUAUAAUUUAUGUAAGUGGAUAAUUUACAAUCUAACACGUGCUAUCUGACGUCAAUUUGUAUAACCACCCAACAGUCAAAUGUUAGUAAUAACACUGAUGCUUGUCUUUGUAUACUCAAUAAAAAUAAAGAUUAUAAAUUUCUGAG
rnacentral:misc_RNA from 1 species